rnacentral:tRNA from 1 species
CGCGGGGUGGAGCAGCCUGGUAGCUCGUCGGGCUAUAACCCGAAGGUCGUCGGUUCAAAUCCGGCCCCCGCAACCA